rnacentral:tRNA from 1 species
GCCUUAGCGGUCUAGUGGUCAGCACACUCGGCGCGUAUUCGAGAGGUCCGUGGUUCGAGUCCCGGCGAAGGCA